rnacentral:lncRNA from 1 species
AGUGUUCUAAAAAGCGGUCUAGGCGGUCGCCUAGACCCCGACUAGGCGCUAGGCUCUCAUGCGACGUCUAGAUAACCGCUUUGACCGCCUAAAAUUACAUAGAUCUUGUUUAAUGUAUUUUUUCAAUUUUAAUUAGAGUUUUAUUUAUAUAUAUAGUUAUAAAUAUUUAUAUAUUGUUUAAUAUAAAUAUAAAUAAAUGUUUUGUCUAGUUUUU